rnacentral:rRNA from 1 species
AGUGGCGCACGGGUGAGUAACACGUAGCUAACCUGCCCUGGAGUGGGGGAUAACCUGGGGAAACCUGGGCUAAUACCGCAUCACAUCCUCACGAGCAAAGGCCCGCUCUGGGAGGGGGCUGCGGCCGAUCAGCUAGUUGGCAGGGUAAUGGCCUACCAAGGCGAUGAUCGGUAGCCGGCCUGAGAGGGCGCACGGCCACACUGGCACUGAAACACGGGCCAGACUCCUACGGGAGGCAGCAGUGGGGAAUUUUGCACAAUGCCCGAAAGGGUGAUGCAGCAACGCCGCGUGAGGGAUGAAGGUCUUCGGAUCGUAAACCUCUUUCGACUGGGAAAAAUGAUGGUACCGGUGGAAGAAGCCCCGGCUAACUACGUGCCAGCAGCCGCGGUAAUACGUAGGGGGCGAGCGUUGUUCGGAA